ACAGAGCCUGCUCCUGCCAGAGAGGAGCAACCAGCCAGUUCCAGUGCUCGUUCCCUCCGAUUCCUGCACUCACAUGCUUGCCUGCACUCCCUCUCUCCAGGAGCGGCCAGCGGUGGGCUGAAAGGACCCACGCCAGCUACUGCCCACGAAGGAGGUCAAGAACAGCCUUUGAACCCCUCAGAAGACCUCAGCUCAAAGCUUACUGCAUCACGGAAUCUCUCCCUGACCACCACGCUGUGAAGUAGCCUGGGAAGAAAGGCCAUCUCAGCUCUUCCAGCUGUUCUACCUGAAGCCUGAACAUGUGAGUGAGACCACUGUGGACUCCCAGCUCUUGCUGAGCCCUCAGUUUUCUGCAGCUGUAGGAAUGAGUCCACGUGAGGCCAGUGGCAGAACUACCCAAUCAACCUUCACAACUGUGCUAAAUAAAUAAGUAAACGAUGACUGUUUUUAAUCA